rnacentral:rRNA from 1 species
UACGAACUGUGCGAACGUUAUUCGGAAUCACUGGGCAUAAAGGGUGCGUAGGCGGUGGUGCACGCCCUGGGUGAAAUCCUUCGGCCCAACCGGAGGUCUGCCUGGGAUACGGCACUACUUGAGUGCGUGAGGGGUGACUGGAACGCGUGGUGUAGCGGUGAAAUGCGUAGAUAUCACGCGGAAGGCCAACGGCGAAGGCAAGUCACUGGUACGCAACUGACGCUGAGUGCACGAAAGCGUGGGGAGCAAACAGGAUUAGAUACCCUUGUAGU